rnacentral:rRNA from 1 species
UACAGAGGGUGCAAGCGUUGUUCGGAAUUAUUGGGCGUAAAGCGCGCGUAGGCGGCUUUGCAAGUCGGGUGUGAAAGCCCUCAGCUCAACUGAGGAAGGGCGCCCGAAACUGCAGAGCUUGAGUGCCGGAGAGGGUGGCGGAAUUCCCCAAGUAGAGGUGAAAUUCGUAGAUAUGGGGAGGAACACCGAUAGCGAAGGCAGCUUACUUGACUGUAACUGACGCUGAUGCACGAAAGUGUGGGGAUCAAACAGG